rnacentral:lncRNA from 1 species
GCUUUUUCACCCCUAAACUCAUAUUUUCACUAUUUCAGCUUCCCCCGAAGCCCCAAAAUCAUUUCCAACACCCGAAACACGCCCCGAAGUGCCCGAGAAGCCCGAGAAAUUUAUCUUUUUGGCUUGAAGCUCAACCCUCGCAGGCCCGGGUUUUCAAUAAAGCUCCCGGUUUUCAACGAAGAAAGCUAUUUAUUAUAACGAAGUGAUACACAAAUUACUAUUUUAACCCCCGGUUAUUUCACGGUGAGUUUGAUAUAUAGGAACAAUUGUAUGUUAUGUGUUAUAUGUGCUAUGUGCUUUUCUGUUGUUAUUAUUUCUGCUAUUUAUGAUAGCAUAGCUGUACCUUUGGCCAUGUGAUUAGUGAAAGGACUUAGAUUCACAGUGGUAUUCGUAUGUAGCCUCUGGCCGUGUAGAGCAUGCCUUGUAAGAGAAUGACUUCUACCCCUAUGGCAUUGACAGAAGGUUAGAUAGGGCUAAAAGCCUAAAAUCUACCAAAAUGUUUAAUCGGAAAGUGUAUGUCUUCUGAGCCAUUUGGGCCGAAGCUUUAUUGAUGUAUAUCAAGUAUGGAAAUUGUUAUGUCUCAUUGAUUAUAUCUUUGAAUCAAAUCAUUAAUUGAUAUACUUGUAAGAGAAUGACUUCUACCCCUAUGGCAUUGACAGAAGGUUAGAUAGGGCUAAAAGCCUAAAAUCUACCAAAAUGUUUAAUCGGAAAGUGUAUGUCUUCUGAGCCAUUU